rnacentral:rRNA from 1 species
UACGUAUGGUGCAAGCGUUAUCCGGAUUUACUGGGUGUAAAGGGAGCGCAGGCGGCACGGCAAGCCUGAUGUGAAAGCCCGCGGCCCAACCGCGGGACUGCAUUGGGAACUACCGGGCUGGAGUGCCGGAGAGGUAGGCGGAAUUCCUAGUGUAGCGGUGAAAUGCGUAGAUAUUAGGAGGAACACCAGUGGCGAAGGCGGCCUACUGGACGGUGACUGACGCUGAGGUUCGAAAGCGUGGGUAGCAAACAGG